GAUGAACGCUGGCGGCGUGCCUAAUACAUGCAAGUCGAGCGAACGGACGAGAAGCUUGCUUCUCUGAUGUUAGCGGCGGACGGGUGAGUAACACGUGGAUAACCUACCUAUAAGACUGGGAUAACUUCGGGAAACCGGAGCUAAUACCGGAUAAUAUUUUGAACCGCAUGGUUCAAAAGUGAAAGACGUUCUUGCUGUCACUUAUAGAUGGAUCCGCGCUGCAUUAGCUAGUUGGUAAGGUAACGGCUUACCAAGGCAACGAUGCAUAGCCGACCUGAGAGGGUGAUCGGCCACACUGGAACUGAGACACGGUCCAGAGUCCUACGGGAGGCAGCAGUAGGGAAUAUUCCGCAAUGGGCGAAAGACUGACGGAGCAACGCCGCGUGAGUGAUGAAGGUCUUCGGAUCGUAAAACUCUGUUAUUAGGGAAGAACAUAUGUGUAAGUAACUGUGCACAUCUUGACGGUACCUAAUCAGAAAGCCACGGCUAACUACGUG
rnacentral:rRNA from 1 species